GUUGAAGUUUUUAAGGGCGCACGGUGGAUGCCUUGGCAUCAAGAGCCGAUGAAGGACGUGGGAAUCUGCGAUAAGCCUGGUGGAGUCGAUAACCGGACGUUGAGACCAGGAUUUCCGAAUGGGGGAACCCCGCACCAUGUUAUGUGGUGUGACCUGCAGCUGAAUGUAUAGGCUGUGUGGAGGGAACGCGGGGAAGUGAAACAUCUCAGUACCCGCAGGAAGAGAAAACAACAGUGAUUCCGUUAGUAGUGGCGAGCGAACGCGGAUGGGGCUAAACCGGUUGGUGUGUGAUAGCGGAUAGGCGUUGCAUCACCGGGGUUGUGGGGUUGACAUGUACCAGCGCUAUCUUGCUGGUGGGAUGAGGUGCAGGCGUAUAGGUGAAUCGGUUGGAAUGCCGGACCAGAGAGGGUGAUAGUCCCGUAGGUGUAAUGCGUGUCUGCCGUUCUAGUGUUGAUACCCGAGUAGCACGGGGCCCGUGAAACCUUGUGUGAAUCUGCCAGGACCACCUGGUAAGCCUGAAUACUACUUGAUGACCGAUAGUGAAUCAGUACCGUGAGGGAAUGGUGAAAAGUACCCCGGGAGGGGAGUGAAAUAGUACCUGAAACCGUGCGCUUACAAUCCGUUAGAGCUGGGGACUUGUUCCCUGGUGAUGGCGUGCCUUUUGAAGAAUGAGCCUGCGAGUUAGUGUUACGUCGCGAGGUUAACCCGUGUGGGGAAGCCGUAGCGAAAGCGAGUCUGAAUAGGGCGUUUGAGUGGCGUGAUCUAGACCCGAAGCGAAGUGAUCUACCCAUGGCCAGGUUGAAGCGCGUGUAAGAGCGUGUGGAGGACCGAACCCACUUCAGUUGAAAAUGGAGGGGAUGAGCUGUGGGUAGGGGUGAAAGGCCAAUCAAACUUCGUGAUAGCUGGUUCUCCCCGAAAUGCAUUUAGGUGCAGCGUUGCGUGUUUCUUGCUGGAGGUAGAGCUACUGGAUAGGCGAUGGGCCCUACAAGGUUACUGACCUUAGCCAAACUCCGAAUGCCGGCAAGUGAGAGCGCAGCAGUGAGACUGUGGGGGAUAAGCUUCAUAGUCGAGAGGGAAACAGCCCAGAACGCCAACUAAGGCCCCUAAGCGUGUGCUAAGUGGAAAAGGAUGUGGAGUUGCUGUGACAACCAGGAGGUUGGCUUAGAAGCAGCCACCCUUGAAAGAGUGCGUAAUAGCUCACUGGUCAAGUGAUUCCGCGCCGAUAAUGUAGCGGGGCUCAAGCACACCGCCGAAGUUGCGUCAUUCAAAUAUUAACCUGGUUUCGAUUGGGUGUUUGGAUGGGUAGGGGAGCGUCGUGUGGACGGUGAAGUCGCGGUGUAAACCAGCGGUGGAGGCCACACGAGUGAGAAUGCAGGCAUGAGUAGAGUAGCGAAUGACGGGUGAGAAACCCGUCCGCCGAAUGAUCAAGGGUUCCAGGGUUAAGCUAAUCUGCCCUGGGUUAGUCGGGACCUAAGGCGAGGCCGACAGGCGUAGUCGAUGGACAACGGGUUGAUAUUCCCGUACCGGCGAAGGACCGCCCAUACUGAGCUGUGGAUGCUAACCAUGACGGAUCCGGUGAUUUGUUCCUUCGGGAAUGGUUGCUGGUGGUGUGGUGGGAACCGAUGCAGUGAGGUCAGCGUAUUAACAGGUGUGACGCAGGAAGGUAGCCGAGCCAGGCAAUGGAAUUGACCUGGUCCAAGGGUGUAGGAAGAGCGGUUGGCAAAUCCGCCGCUCAUAUAUUCUGAGACCUGAUAGGCGCCCCGUUUAUGGGGUGAUUCGGUGAUCCUAUGCUGCCUAGAAAAGCAUCGGCGCGAGGUCCCAGUCCGCCCGUACCCCAAACCGACACAGGUGAUCAGGUAGAGAAUACUAAGGCGAUCGAGAGAAUCAUGGUUAAGGAACUCGGCAAAAUGCCCCCGUAACUUCGGAAGAAGGGGGGCCUGCCCCGUGAUGAGAACUUGCUUCUCUGAUGCGGGUGUGGGCCGCAGAGACCAGGGGGAAGCGACUGUUUACUAAAAACACAGGUCCGUGCGAAGUCGCAAGACGAUGUAUACGGACUGACUCCUGCCCGGUGCUGGAAGGUUAAGAGGACUGGUUAGUCACUUUUGUGGCGAAGCUGAGAAUUUAAGCCCCAGUAAACGGCGGUGGUAACUAUAACCAUCCUAAGGUAGCGAAAUUCCUUGUCGGGUAAGUUCCGACCUGCACGAAUGGAGUAACGACUUCCCCGCUGUCUCAACCAUGAACUCGGCGAAAUUGCAGUACGAGUAAAGAUGCUCGUUACGCGCAGCAGGACGGAAAGACCCCGAGACCUUUACUAUAGUUUGGUAUUGGUGUUCGGUGCAGCUUGUGUAGGAUAGGUGGGAGACUGUGAAGCUUGGACGCUAGUCCAGCUAGUCCAGGUGGAGUCAUCGUUGAAAUACCACUCUGGCUGUACCGGUCACCUAACUUCGGACCAUGAUCUGGUUCAGGGACAGUGCCUGAUGGGUAGUUUAACUGGGGCGGUUGCCUCCUAAAAUGUAACGGAGGCGCCCAAAGGUUCCCUCAGCCUGGUUGGCAAUCAGGUGUCGAGUGUAAGUGCACAAGGGAGCUUGACUGUGAGAGUGACAGCUCGAGCAGGGACGAAAGUCGGGACUAGUGAUCCGGCGGCACCUCGUGGAAGGGCCGUCGCUCAACGGAUAAAAGGUACCUCGGGGAUAACAGGCUGAUCUUGCCCAAGAGUCCAUAUCGACGGCAUGGUUUGGCACCUCGAUGUCGGCUCGUCGCAUCCUGGGGCUGGAGUAGGUCCCAAGGGUUGGGCUGUUCGCCCAUUAAAGCGGUACGCGAGCUGGGUUUAGAACGUCGUGAGACAGUUCGGUCCCUAUCCGCUGCGCGCGUUGGAAAUUUGAGAAGGGCUGUCCUUAGUACGAGAGGACCGGGACGGACGAACCUCUGGUGUGUCAGUUGUACUGCCAAGUGCAUCGCUGAUUAGCUACGUUUGGAAGGGAUAACCGCUGAAAGCAUCUAAGCGGGAAGCCUGCUUCGAGAUGAGAUUUCCAUGCACCUUUGUGUGUGAGAGGCCCCCAGCUAGACCACUGGGUUGAUAGGCAGGAUGUGGAAGCAAGGACUGAAGACUUGUGCAGCUGACCUGUACUAAUAGGCCGAUGGCUUACAACAC
rnacentral:rRNA from 1 species